rnacentral:rRNA from 1 species
CGUGGGUAACCUGCCCAAGAGACUGGGAUAACACCUGGAAACAGAUGCUAAUACCGGAUAACAACACUAGACGCAUGUCUAGAGUUUAAAAGAUGGUUCUGCUAUCACUCUUGGAUGGACCUGCGGUGCAUUAGCUAGUUGGUAAGGUAACGGCUUACCAAGGCAAUGAUGCAUAGCCGAGUUGAGAGACUGAUCGGCCACAUUGGGACUGAGACACGGCCCAAACCCCUACGGAAGGCAGCAG